CCUACGGGAGACUGCAGUGAGGAAUAUUGGUCAAUGGGCGGAAGCCUGAACCAGCCAAGUAGCGUGAAGGAUGAAGGCCCUAUGGGUUGUAAACUGCUUUUAUACGGGAAUAAAGCGACUUACGUGUAGAUCUUUGCAUGUACCGUAUGAAUAAGGAUCGGCUAAUUCCGUGCCAGCAGCCGCGGUAAUACGGAGGGUGCGGGCGUUAUCCGGAAUUACUGGGGUUAAAGGGCGCGUAGGCGGGAUAGCAAGUCUGCUGUGAAAUCCCAGGGCUCAACCCUAGCCGUGAAUUGCAAACGGUCAUUCUUGAGUCUGCGUAAAGUAGGUGGAAUUCGUGGUGUAGCGGUGAAAUGCGUAGAGAUCACGAGGAACCCCGAUUGCGAAGGCAGCUUGCUGGAGCGUAACUGACGCUGAUGCGCGAAAGCGUGGGUAUCGAACAGGAUUAGAUACCCCUGUAGUC
rnacentral:rRNA from 1 species